AGUGAACGCUGGCGGCAUGCCUAACACAUGCAAGUCGAACGACAAGACAGUAAGAUCUCGCCUCUACCGGUGGCGGGUGGCGGGCGGGUGAGGCAUAGAUCAGAAUCUACUUUUUCGUGGGUGAUAACGUAAGAACACUUACGAUACUACCGCAUAUGACCUACGGGUGGAAUCAGGAGAUCUUGGGAGCUUGCGCGAUUCUAUGAGACGAUGUCGCAUUAGCUAGUUGACGGGGUAAAGGCCCACCAAGGCAACGAUCCGUAGCUGGUCUGAGAGGAUGAUCGGCCACACUGGAACUGAGACACGGUCCAGACUCCUACGGGAGGCAGCAGUAGGGAAUCUUGGGCAAUGGGCGCAAGCCUGAUCCAGCCAUACCGCGUGAGUGAAGAAGGCCUUCGGAUCGUAAAGCCCUUUUAUUAGGAAAGAAAAACUGUGGAUGAAUCCCCCGCUGUCCUGACGGUACCCAAAGAAUAAGCACCGGCUAACUUCGUG
rnacentral:rRNA from 1 species